GAGUGGAGCCUGCGGCUUNAUUUGACUCAACACGGGAAAACUUAGCAGGUCCGAACAUAAGUGUGUAAGACAGAUUGAUAGCUCUUUCUCGAAUCUAUGGGUGGUGGUGCAUGGCCGUUCUUAGUUCGUGGAGUGAUUUGUCUGGUUAAUUCCGAUAACGAACGAGACUCAAAUAUAUUAAAUAGAUGCUUUCAGGAUUAUGGUGUAGAAGCUUUUAUAGCCUUCAUGUGCGACCGCAGGAAAAUGCGUUAGUGGUUGAAUGUGUUUAUAGAAGUGGAGCCGAACCGGUUGUUCGUCCUAUUAUAAGCUUCUUAAAUGGACAAAUUGCGUCUAGCAAUAAUGAGAUUGAGCCAUAACAGGUCUGUGAUGCCCUUAGAUGUCCUGGGCUGCACGCGCGCUACAAUUAAAGUAUCAACGUGUAUUUCCUAGACCGAGAGGUCCGGGUAAACCGCUGAACCACUUUCAUGAACCUACGCAGUAGGUUCCGAAGGAUUC
rnacentral:ncRNA from 1 species